GAUGGUGACAUGUUGUUGC
rnacentral:siRNA from 1 species